rnacentral:rRNA from 1 species
UACAGAGGGGGCAAGCGUUGUUCGGAAUUACUGGGCGUAAAGGGCGCGUAGGCGGCCUGCUAAGUCGAACGUGAAAUCCCCGAGCUCAACUCGGGAACUGCGUCCGAUACUGGCAGGCUUGAAUCCGGGAGAGGGAUGCGGAAUUCCAGGUGUAGCGGUGAAAUGCGUAGAUAUCUGGAGGAACACCAAUUGCGAAGGCAGCUCGCUGGGACGUUACUGACGCUGAGACGCGAAAGCGUGGGGAGCAAACAGG